rnacentral:pre_miRNA from 1 species
GUGUGUGUGCGUGCGCGUACGUGCGUGCCUGCGUGUGUGUGUGUGUGUGUGCAAGCCACACACACACACACACACCACACACACGCAGGCACGCACGUACGCGCACG